GCUGGGCGUAGUGGCGUGCGCCUGUAGUCCCAGUUACUUGGGAGGCUGAGACAGGAGAAUCACUUGAACCCGGGAGGUGGAGGUUGCAGUGAGCCGAGAUCAUGCCACUGCACUCCAGCCUGGGUGACAAGAGUGAAACUCGGUCUCAAAAAAAAAAAAAAAAAAAAAAAAAAAAAAAAGGGGGGGAAGGUGCCCCCCCUUUUUUUUUUUUUUUUUUUUUUUUUUUUUUUGAGACCGAGUUUCACUCUUGUCACCCAGGCUGGAGUGCAGUGGCAUGAUCUCGGCUCACUGCAACCUCCACCUCCCGGGUUCAAGUGAUUCUCC
rnacentral:SRP_RNA from 1 species